AUGAGGCAGAUCCAAGCAGAACAUGCUGCUUCCCAGCAGUCUUACAGAUGGGGAUGCGAUGUCUGGUGUGAGGGCUUUGGUUCCACAACGUGUAAUGGUACUGAGCCAGUUCCCCCCAACCCAAACCAACCUGUGAGAGUGUGCCAGGGAUGUGAAGGACCUCAGCACAGCUUCUUACAGCCAUCAAGCCUGCUCCUGUUGCUCCAACAGGUGGCGUACCUGCCUCGCUGGAAUCAGAUGCAUGUUCUACUGUUUGCUCACUUGCCAAGAUCCUCAGGCAGAAUAAUGCAAACUGUACAUAUGUGUACUCAAGAACUUCUCUCCCUCAUCCUUGGAGGAAGGUAUGGGCAGAAAAGUGACUCGAUGUAAAUGAGGAAGGAGGGGAAGUCCUGGAGAACCAGACCUGGAGAAACAACACACAAAAAAGUAUUCCUAUGUUAACAGAUGGCAAAGUCCUAAAGGCUCAUCUCACAGGAACUGCAGCGUGACGGUGGCAGCACGGAGAGCCCACCGAUGGGAACUCACACCCCUAAAAGGGAACCGACGCCAACUGCCCUCAGCAGCCAGGCUCCUCAGGCUGCGGCCAGGACUGCUGAGCCGACAGAGGUCUGUCCCGGCAAAGACGAGCGCUUCAAUACCAGCUGCCGAAGGGAAAAUCCCCUUCAAGCGCGAGAUCCCCGCGCAGCCCUGCACUCCCGGGCGCCGGGUGAGCUCGACAACAUGGCGGCCCGGGACGCGGCGAGGCGGCGAGGCGCACGCGCACGGCGCCCCUCCCGGGGGGAGCGCGGCGGCGUCGUGACGUCAGACGCGGUCCCCGGCAACGGCCGCACGUCGGCGGGCGCCGGCAACCCGGAAGCGGCGGGCGAAUAGGGACGGAGCGGCGCGGAGGGGACCGGCGGAAAAGUAGUCCCGCGGGCGGCGCGGAGCACGGCGGAGGAGCGGGAGGCGUUCGGCGGAGCAGGGGAGGGCCUCGUCCCGCUCGGCGCGCUCGGAUCACACGGCGGCGGCGGCGGCGGCGGCAGAGAUGGCGGCGGACAAGGCUGCGGGUGAGCGGGGGGAACGGCCGCGGGCCCGGGCGGAGGGAUACGCUCUCGCGCCCGGGCGCUGAGUGCCGGCACGGAAGGCGAGGGGCGUGCUGCUGCCGCGUGUCCUUCCGCCGAGGAAGUAGCGCCCUGCGGGCGGGCGGCCGCGCGACCGGCUGAGCCCGCGGGCUGCCCGCCUUGGUCCCGUCCCCGUCGGCCCGGCCGGAAGGGGGAGCGGCGGCCGCCGGAGCCGUGCGGGAGGCUCUUCUCCGUCCCAGAAGAGAUUAUCCCCUGCUUCGGGAAAUAAAGCGCUCCGCAGGUGCCGCGGUGCUCGGCGG
rnacentral:lncRNA from 1 species